UACGAAGGGGGCUAGCGUUGUUCGGAAUUACUGGGCGUAAAGCGUGCGCAGGCGGCUUCUCAAGUCAGGGGUGAAAGCCCAGAGCUCAACUCUGGAAUUGCCUUUGAGACUGAGUGGCUUGAGUACGAGAGAGGUGAGUGGAAUUCCCAGUGUAGAGGUGAAAUUCGUAGAUAUUGGGAAGGACACCGGUGGCGAAGGCGGCUCACUGGCUCGUAACUGACGCUCAUGCACGACAGCGUGGGGAUCAAACAGG
rnacentral:rRNA from 1 species